rnacentral:rRNA from 1 species
UACCAGACUCCUACGGGAGGCAGCAGUGGGGGAUAUUGCACAAUGGGGGAAACCCUGAUGCAGCGACGCCGCGUGGGCGAAGAAGUAUUUCGGUAUGUAAAGCCCUAUCAGCAGGGAAGAAGAAAUGACGGUACCUGAGUAAGAAGCACCGGCUAAAUACGUGCCAGCAGCCGCGGUAAUACGUAUGGUGCAAGCGUUAUCCGGAUUUACUGGGCGUAAAGGGAGCGCAGGCGGCGCGCCAAGUCUGAUGUGAAGCCCCGGGGCUCAACCCCGGGCAUGCAUUGGAAACUGGCGGGCUGGAGUGCCGGAGAGGCAAGCGGAAUUCCUAGUGUAGCGGUGAAAUGCGUAGAUAUUAGGAGGAACACCAGUGGCGAAGGCGGCUUACUGGACGGCAACUGACGCUGAGGCUCGAAAGCGUGGGGAGCAAACAGGAUUAGAUACCCCAGUACA